GGACAAACGCUGGCGGCGUGCCUAACGCAUGCAAGUCGAGCGGAGCUUAUUGGAAGGGUAACUGGAAGAUAAGCUUAGCGGCGGACGGGUGAGUAACACGUGAGCAACCUGGCCUUAGCACAGGGGAUAACAGGUCGAAAGGCUUGCUAAUACCUGAUAGGACUACGUUAACGCAUGUUAAGGUAGUGAAAGGGGGAAACUCGGCUAAGGAUGGGCUCGCGGUCCAUCCACCUAGUUGGUAGGGUUAAGGCCUACCAAGGGCGGACGAACCGGUAGACCCGCCCUGAGAAAGGUGACCCGCCCACAGGUGGGGACUGAAGAACAGCGCCCCCACACCCCUCUACCGGGAAGGCAGCAACCGGGGAAUCUCUUGGCCAAUGGGGCGAAAACCUGAACCCAGCGAACCCCCCCGUGGGGAAAGAAGCUUUUCGGGAUGGUUAAACCCUGGUUGGACAGGGAAGAGGAAGGAAAAUAUAACUUGUUGAAGGAAAGCCAGGGCUAAACUACCUUGGCAACAAGCCCCGGGUAAUCCGUAAGUGGGGCGAGGCGUGUGUCCCGGAAAUAACUGGGGUGUUAAAAGGGUGGCGUAAGGCGGCUUAUUUUAGUUUUAGUUGUGGAAAACCCUUCAGGCUCUCACCUUUGAGGGCAUGGCCACCUAAAAACUGGGUGUAGCCUUGGAGUUGCAGGGAGAGGGAUGGACGGGAAUUUCCCGGGAGUAGCGGUGAGAUGCGUAGAUAUCGGGAGGAACACCAGUGGCGAAGGCGGUCAUCUGGACUGUAACUGACGCUGAGGCACGAAAGCGUGGGGAGCAAACAGGGAUUAGAUACCCUGGUAGUCCACGCUGUAAACGAUGGAUGCUAGGUGUAGGUGAGAAGGACUCAUCUGUGCCGGAGUUAACACAAUAAGCAUCCCACCUGGGGAGUACGGCCGCAAGGUUGAAACUCAAAGGAAUUGACGGGGGCCCGCACAAGCGGUGGAGCAUGUGGUUUAAUUCGAAGCAACACGAAGAACCUUACCAGGGCUUGACAUCCUGCGGAUCUGGUGGAAACACUGGAGUGCCUGCUUUUAAGUAGGAACGCAGAGACAGGUGGUGCAUGGUUGUCGUCAGCUCGUGUCGUGAGGUGUUGGGUUAAGUCCCGCAACGAGCGCAACCCCUAUGAUUAGUUGCCAGCGGGUAGAGCCGGGCACUCUAAUCAGACUGCCGCUGAUGAAGCGGAGGAAGGUGGGGAUGACGUCAAAUCAUCAUGCCCUAUAUGUUCUGGGCUACACACGUGCUACAAUGGUCGUGAGACAGAGGGAAGCGAAGCAGUGAUGUGGAGCGAAUCUCAGAAAAGCGACCCCAGUUCAGAUUGCAGGCUGCAACUCGCCUGCAUGAAGUCGGAAUCGCUAGUAAUCGCGGAUCAGCAAGCCGCGGUGAAUACGUUCCCGGGCCUUGUACACACCGCCCGUCACACCAUGAGAGUUGGCAACACCCGAAGAUACUUUAGGAAGGUAUUGAAGGUGGGGCUGAUGAUUGGGGU
rnacentral:rRNA from 1 species